UACGGAGGGAGCUAGCGUUGUUCGGAAUUACUGGGCGUAAAGCGCACGUAGGCGGCUUUGUAAGUUAGAGGUGAAAGCCCGGGGCUCAACCCCGGAAUUGCCUUUAAGACUGCAUCGCUUGAAUCCAGGAGAGGUGAGUGGAAUUCCGAGUGUAGAGGUGAAAUUCGUAGAUAUUCGGAAGAACACCAGUGGCGAAGGCGGCACACUGGACUGGUAUUGACGCUGAGGUGGCGAAAGCGUGGGGAGCAAACAGG
rnacentral:rRNA from 1 species